AAACCAAAACAAAUCGAAACUGCUGUUUUCCUCCACCGAGAACUGUCAAAUUCGCCAAAAUCAUUCCGACGUUGAUCCGCGUCUUGAUAGCACCUGCUGGAGGAGGAGGAGGAAUGAUGACCAGCGACAUGCAGGCAGGAGGAUUUCG